rnacentral:rRNA from 1 species
UACGAAGGGAGUGAGCGUUAUUCAUAAUGAUUGGGCGUAAAGGGUUCGUAGAUUGAUAAUUUAACCUUCGGUGAAAGUUCAAGUAAAAUUGAAAGGGCUUUAGGUAUUGAUUUUCUAGAGUGAGUCAGAGGACAACAGAAUUUUGUAAGUAGGAGUAAAAUCUGUAGAUAUGCAAAGGAAUGCCAGAGGCGAAAGCGGUUGUCUGGGAUAUCACUGACAUUGAGGAACGAAAGCGUAGGGAGCAAACAGG